UCUGCCAUUACAAAUUUCUGCUGCUCGCACAAGUAUUUUCUACAAGUAUACAAAUCAUUUUGAGACUGUUCUGGCGCUUCCUGUUGAAUAGCCAAUGGCGAUCCUCAGGUUUGGCUAGCCAACCAUGAAUCUCAGUUCACUAACCAAUCACAGAGCAGGAGCAGCGCCGUCGUUGUCUGUGGGUGCAACCAAACCUGGAGUCUACGUUUGGAGCACGCUAGUUUCCUGUAUUCCUUGAGUUUCUUAUGGAUCCCCAGUUGCUGCCUCCUUCUGAAGCACAGGUUAUUAGAGAGGCUGAAAACCAGACUGGAACAGGCUCUUCAAAGGCAGCCUCUGGACCUGGACUAUUUAGAGUUCCUCUGUACCAGUGAGUUGAGCCUAGUUCACUGAGUACUCACAUGCCAUUUCCAGAAGAGGUCAUAGGCAGACGGGAAAAGCAGGCCUUAAGAGGGCUACAGGAUACUGGGGUGCUCCCAAUGAUAAUAGAACGGCCAGAACUGGCUAGAGUUCUGUUCCCAAAAGGUGUCUCAUCUCUGAUGGAUCCUAAGAUGAUUUUGAAAAGAGUGGUUUGACCAGAUGAGGCGGAGGUUGACGAAGAUGAAAUGGAAGACUGCCGUGUCACAGCCUACCUCAGACAAUACGUUGUAAGUGUUUCUUUAGAGACAUUGAAAGACCUGGUGGUCUUCUGGACGGGAUGGUCUGUUGGCAGGGGCAAUGCCGACUGUACAUUGAAACUCCCCCUAGGGACAAGAAUGUAUGACACCUUCAAAGAAGCUAUGAAUGCAGCGCUGAAAUAAAGCAAUUAUGGUUUUGGCUUGAUCUAGUGUUGUUUUCUGCAAGUUCAAUGCAGUAUAGUCAACAAUUUCAGUGUUUCAGACGGUGACCAGAGUUCCAGUUGUUCAAUGAAUAAACUAUGCAAUGAGAAACUG